CUUCAACGCGCCGAGCCACAGCGGCCGUUCGCUCUCCCGGCCCUGCCCGUAGGUCGCCAGGAUCGCCUGGGCCUC
rnacentral:antisense_RNA from 1 species